rnacentral:rRNA from 1 species
AACAGCAGUACCUGUCUGAACAAAUAUCAAACGUUAAAACUUUCAACAAUGGAUCUCUUGGUUCUGGCAUCGAUGAAGAACGCAGCGAAAUGCGAUACGUAGUGUGAAUUGCAGAAUUCAGUGAAUCAUCGAAUCUUUGAACGCACAUUGCGCCCUUUGGCAUUCCUUAGGGCAUGCCUGUUCGAGCGUCAUUU